AGCAGCCGCGGUAAUUCCAGCUCCAAUAGCGUAUAUUAAAGUUGUUGCAGUUAAAAAGCUCGUAGUUGAAUUUCGGGAUUAAUUUAUUGGUCGUGCUAUUGUACGUACUGGUAUUAUUGAUUCCUACCUUCUGACGAACCACGAUGUCAUUAAUUUGGUGUCAUGGGGAAUCAGGACUGUUACUUUGAAAAAAUUAGAGUGUUUAAAGCAGGCUCACGCUUGAAUACAUUAGCAUGGAAUAACGAAAUAGGACGUUUGAUUCUAUUUUGUUGGUUUCUAGGAUCGACGUAAUGAUUAAUAGGGAUAGUUGGGGGCAUUAGUAUUCAAUUGUCAGAGGUGAAAUUCUUGGAUUUAUUGAAGACUAACUACUGCGAAAGCAUUUGCCAAGGAUGUUUUCAUUAAUCAAGAACGAAAGUUAGGGGAUCGAAGACGAUCAGAUACCGUCGUAGUCUUAACCAUAAACUAUGCCGACUA
rnacentral:rRNA from 1 species